AGAGUUUGAUCCUGGCUCAGGACGAACGCUGGCGGCGUGCUUAACACAUGCAAGUCGAACGGUGACCUGCGGAGCUUGCUCCGCGGCGAUCAGUGGCGAACGGGUGAGUAACACGUGAGUAACCUGCCCCAGACUCUGGAAUAACCCCGGGAAACCGGAGCUAAUACCGGAUACGAGACAGAGAGGCAUCUCUACUGUCUGGAAAGUUUUUCGGUCUGGGAUGGACUCGCGGCCUAUCAGCUUGUUGGUGAGGUAACGGCUCACCAAGGCGACGACGGGUAGCCGGCCUGAGAGGGCGACCGGCCACACUGGGACUGAGACACGGCCCAGACUCCUACGGGAGGCAGCAGUGGGGAAUAUUGCACAAUGGGCGAAAGCCUGAUGCAGCGACGCCGCGUGAGGGAUGACGGCCUUCGGGUUGUAAACCUCUUUCAGCAGGGAAGAAGCGCAAGUGACGGUACCUGCAGAAGAAGCACCGGCUAACUACGUGCCAGCAGCCGCGGUAAUAC
rnacentral:rRNA from 1 species